ensembl:lncRNA
ACACAGGGACUUGCCUAAGCCAGGGGCUGAUAUGUUUCCGUAAACAACUGUGAAGACAAGAAAUAAAUAUUUUUGCAGGGGGAAGAGAAAGAAAGAAAGGAAUGCCUGUGCUAAGGAAACCAAAACAAUGCUGGCAGCCUGAGGUGUUCUUUGACUGAGAAUGUUUUUAAUAGCAUAUGUUUUCCCUGUACCUUUCCUGUGAGCUGGUGCAAUUUCCUAAAUUAAUUGAUAUUUUUUUCCAUAAGGUCUGCAUUUGAACUCUCCAGAAGAUGAAGUGUCCUUCUAUCUCUAUUUCUUCUUCUUCCCCGUGAAAGUCAAGCUGUGAGCAUGUGAGGGGGCAGUGCAUCUCAAUUGCAUUCUGCCAUCGUCCUGAUAAAUCCAGCAGUAUGUGGCAGAACCUUUUCUUCUUUGUGAUGAACAGCCCCAGCUCUCAUCCUGUCCUCGUAGAGAAGUGUUCCAUCCCUUGGAUCAUUUUUUUGGCCCUUGUCUGAAUGUGCUCCAACAGCUCCAUGUCUCUCCUGUAUUGAGGACUCCACAUCUGGACACAGUACUCCAGGUGAGGUCUCGCAGCACAGAGCAGAGGGACAGGAUCACUCCCUUGACUUGCUGGCCAUGCUCCUUUUGAUGCAGCCCAGGAUAUGGUUGGAUUUCUGGGCUGUGAGGGUACACUGCUGGCUCAUGUCCAGCUUGCCAUCCACCAUUACCACCACGUCCUUUUUGGCAGGACUAUGCUCAAUUUGCCAAAUGAAGUAUGUGAAAUAAGAGGUCUUGAUAUCUUCAAUUCAGCCUUUGGGAGAUCUAAAUUAUUUUCUUGGAGAUGAAGUUGUUAACCCUCAUAGCUAAGUUUGACCUAAAUCCGUGAAGGUCAGAAAUAGCCCUUUUGAGUUUCCAUUUUAAACUACAGGUUUCGCCAACUGUGUUUUAACUUGCUUUAUUCAAACAAACAAACAAACAAAAACAAAAAACCAAAACCAACCAACCAACCAAACAAAAACCCCACACAAUGAAUGAAAUAUUCCCACUAGUUAAGAGUGACCUUGGAAAUAAUUCACAAAUGUUAAGCACAGUUACACUGAUGCAUGGGCAGAUUGGUUGGAGCUAUACUCAUUAAGCAAAAAUAUCUCAAAAAGAAACCAUGCACUGAAACACAGUGGCAGUACAUAUGCAAAAUAAUAAAUCUUUUACAAAGUCCCAUCAGUACUGGGGAAAUUCUUCAUGAUUGGUGGACUUUGCCUGUGUCCCAGCUGAUUCAAAGUCAAUGGUCAUGCAGUUAUACUGUACUGUAUAUCAUCUAAAAAGCAAUUUUCUCUCCAUUUGCAGGAAAGCUUCAGAUUUGAUCGAUUAUACUGCUUUUUGCCUGAAUUUUACCUGUACAGAUCAAUGACUACCAUACUAUACAUGUAAUACCUGAGCAAAUAAACUAAGCUUGCUAUAAUUUUAUUUAUGGGGCAUCUUCAAGGGAUAUUUACAUUCUUUAUAUUUUAUUUACAUUCUGAUACAUUAGGUUAUGACAAAUGGUUUUCCUUCAAGUUGUUUACUCAGUUGUGUGCCUUGACAAAUAUGGUUUCACUAAGCAAGGAGUAAUUUUGUUUGCUUGCCCCAGGCUGAUUCCUGUUUGCAGUUGAAAGAAUUCCUUAUGCGAAAGGAAGGGUCUGUCUGGGAGGGUACAGCCAAUAACUUGCAAAUCAGAAGUAGACAAUUAUGCCAUAAGUGGCAUAAUGCCAUCUUUUUGCUCUCUUAACCCAGUUUGAGUUAAUAGAGAAAAUCGGAUUGUGCCUGCAUCACCGUGAGGGGACACCCUGACGUGUUGCACCUCUUUUCCUGACUUUGUAAUUUCAUCUGUUGGGGCGGAGCAUCAGAGAAGGGUACAGAUACAUCUAAAAGUAGGUGGUAAAUCAGGAAAUUAUAUAUUUCUGAGCACUCUCCUAGAAAUCAUGUAUCAACCACCUCAGAACUUCUUGAAAUCCAAAGUACACCCCACUUCCUGUUCCCUGCUUUGAGCAAAGUCAUCUCAGCAUAUUUGUUCAUAGGAUGAGGAUGGAGGAGGAAUUACAGCCCCCUACCCCUACUGCUAUUUGCUUUUUCUCACAGCCACACUGACAGUGCCAAGGCUGCACCCUUCUGUGGCACAUCUUCCUCAUGAUCCUCAGAAACAUCAUAUCACUAGAGUUUGCCUGACUAAUACUUUAGAAAAUAUCAAGGUCUUAUUUUCUUUUUAACUAAAAAUUUGAAAUAAACUUGUUUCUGAAUGCAGUUCACUAUGAAGAAGAACCCAAAGCUGAGUUUCCUGCCCUAACAGGGUAUACCAAUGGAUUGCUAGGAUGCCAGUGUGCCAGCCUAUAAGCAGUAGGCUGGUUUGUAAAAUUCCUGGGCAGCUCAUUAAUUGUUUAUAACUAAUGAAGAAAGCUUCACCUCCUCAGCUAUUUCUUAAUGAAAUUGUGGCUUAUUCCUUGGUUAGUAAAUCAAAUUAAACUGCAUUUACACACAUUUUUGUGACCAGCUAAUAGUCUGGAUAAAGACAGUCACUGCGUUUCAAACACAGUUCAUAGAUAAUUAAUGGACAUUCAAUGCUAACAACUGAAAUUACUAACACGUAAAAUACUGUAUCUGAGAGAAAUGUGUAAUAUUAAGAAUACUGGGU